rnacentral:rRNA from 1 species
ACGAACGCUGGCGGCAGGCCUAACACAUGCAAGUCGAGCGCGCCCUUCGGGGUGAGCGGCGGACGGGUGAGUAACGCGUGGGAACGUGCCCUUCUCUGCGGAAUAGCCUCGGGAAACUGAGAGUAAUACCGCAUACGCCCUUUGGGGGAAAGAUUUAUCGGAGAAGGAUCGGCCCGCGUUGGAUUAGGUAGUUGGUGGGGUAAUGGCCCACCAAGCCGCCGAUCCAUAGCUGGUUUGAGAGGAUGACCAGCCACACUGGGACUGAGACACGGCCCAGCCUCCUACGGGAGGCAGCAGUGGGGAAUCUUAGACAAUGGGGGCAACCCUGAUCUAGCCAUGCCGCGUGAGUGAUGAAGGCCUUAGGGUUGUAAAGCUCUUUCAGCUGGGAAGAUAAUGACGGUACCAGCAGAAGAAGCCCCGGCUAACUCCGUG